UACGGAGGGUGCGAGCGUUGUCCGGAAUCACUGGGCGUAGAGGGCGCGUAGGCGGUUCGUUAAGUUGCUGGUGAAAUCCCGGGGCUCAACUCCGGGGCUGCCGGCAAGACUGGCGGGCUAGAGCACGGUAGAGGCGGAUGGAAUUCCCGGUGUAGCGGUGGAAUGCGUAGAUAUCGGGAAGAAUACCGGUGGCGAAGGCGUUCCGCUGGGCCGUUGCUGACGCUGAGGCGCGACAGCGUGGGGAGCAAACAGG
rnacentral:rRNA from 1 species